GAGUUCUCGUUGAUGAUCGGUGCUUGCACCGAGAUUCAACAUAGAACGAGUGGCGGACGGGUGAGUAACACGUGGGUAACCUGCCCUUAAGUGGGGGAUAACAUUUGGAAACAGAUGCUAAUACCGCAUAGAUCCAAGAACCGCAUGGUUCUUGGCUGAAAGAUGGCGUAAGCUAUCGCUUUUGGAUGGACCCGCGGCGUAUUAGCUAGUUGGUGAGGUAAUGGCUCACCAAGGCGAUGAUACGUAGCCGAACUGAGAGGUUGAUCGGCCACAUUGGGACUGAGACACGGCCCAAACUCCUACGGGAGGCAGCAGUAGGGAAUCUUCCACAAUGGACGCAAGUCUGAUGGAGCAACGCCGCGUGAGUGAAGAAGGCUUUCGGGUCGUAAAACUCUGUUGUUGGAGAAGAAUGGUCGGCAGAGUAACUGUUGUCGGCGUGACGGUAUCCAACCAGAAAGCCACGGCUAACUACGUGCCAGCAGCCGCGGUAAUACGUAGGUGGCAAGCGUUAUCCGGAUUUAUUGGGCGUAAAGCGAGCGCAGGCGGUUUUUUAAGUCUGAUGUGAAAGCCCUCGGCUUAACCGAGGAAGCGCAUCGGAAACUGGGAAACUUGAGUGCAGAAGAGGACAGUGGAACUCCAUGUGUAGCGGUGAAAUGCGUAGAUAUAUGGAAGAACACCAGUGGCGAAGGCGGCUGUCUGGUCUGUAACUGACGCUGAGGCUCGAAAGCAUGGGUAGCGAACAGGAUUAGAUACCCUGGUAGUCCAUGCCGUAAACGAUGAAUGCUAGGUGUUGGAGGGUUUCCGCCCUUCA
rnacentral:rRNA from 1 species